rnacentral:rRNA from 1 species
CCUACGGAGGCAGCAGUGAGGAAUAUUGGUCAAUGGGAGAGAUCCUGAACCAGCCAAGCCGCGUGAGGGAAGACGGCCCUAUGGGUUGUAAACCUCUUUUGUCGGAGAACAAAACCCGGGACGUGUCCCGGACUGCGUGUAUCCGAAGAAAAAGCAUCGGCUAACUCCGUGCCAGCAGCCGCGGUAAUACGGGGGAUGCGAGCGUUAUCCGGAUUUAUUGGGUUUAAAGGGGGCGUAGGCGGUCAGUUAAGUCAGCGGUAAAAUUGCGGGGCUAAACCCCGUCGAGCCGUUGAAACUGGCAGACUUGAGUUGGCGAGAGGUACGCGGAAUGCGCGGUGUAGCGGUGAAAUGCAUAGAUAUCGCGCAGAACUCCGAUUGCGAAGGCAGCGUGCCGGCGCCAGACUGACGCUGAGGCACGAAAGCGUGGGGAUCGAACAGGAUUAGAUACCCUUGUAGUC